rnacentral:rRNA from 1 species
UACGUAGGGUGCAAGCGUUGUCCGGAAUCAUUGGGCGUAAAGCGCGCGUAGGUGGCUUCGUAAGUCCGUUGUGAAAGUCAAAGGCUCAACCUUUGAAUGCCGAUGGAUACUGCGGAGCUAGAGUACGGAAGAGGCGAGUGGAAUUCCUGGUGUAGCGGUGGAAUGCGCAGAUAUCAGGAGGAACACCAAUAGCGAAGGCAGCUCGCUGGGACGUUACUGACACUGAGACGCGAAAGCGUGGGGAGCAAACAGG